AGAUUGAACGCUGGCGGCAUGCUUUACACAUGCAAGUCGAACGGUAACAGGCCGCAAGGUGCUGACGAGUGGCGAACGGGUGAGUAAUGCAUCGGAACGUGCCCAGUCGUGGGGGAUAACGCAGCGAAAGCUGUGCUAAUACCGCAUACGAUCUAUGGAUGAAAGCGGGGGACCGAAAGGCCUCGCGCGAUUGGAGCGGCCGAUGUCAGAUUAGCUAGUUGGUGGGGUAAAGGCCCACCAAGGCGACGAUCUGUAGCUGGUCUGAGAGGACGACCAGCCGACACUGGAACUGAGACACGGUCCAGACUCCUACGGGAGGCAGCAGUGGGGAAUUUUGGACAAUGGGCGCAAGCCUGAUCCAGCAAUGCCGCGUGCAGGAAGAAGGCCUUCGGUUGUAAACGUGCUUUUGUACGAACGAACGGUCGUGGUAAUACCGUCGGUCUAGUGAACGGUACCGUAAGAAUAAGACACCGCUAAACGUACGUGCCUAGCAGCCG
rnacentral:rRNA from 1 species